AUUGGCGAUGGUGAGGACUUUUCAGGCAUUGAGAUGCUUGCAGCAGCUGCUUGCAAUAACAGCAUGGGUGAUGAUGUGACGGAAUCAACUACAGAGGAUGGUCCAGUUUUGACAUGUGAAGGAAACAACUCAUCUAUUUCUGCAAUGCCUAUAAAAGAAACUGUUGCAUCCCCUGCAACAGCCAAUACCUUCCAAAAAGAUGUGGCAAUAGAAGAUGAUAUAGAGGGCUCAUUUUCUCAAGAUAAUUCAGUGGCUGUCUUGCAGAACCUUCAUAGUGACAAGGAUGAUGGGGCAUUGAAAAGGUCUGCUUCUUCACGAGAUGAUAGGUUACACUGGG
rnacentral:lncRNA from 1 species